AUCCUAUACAGAUGUAUUCAACGCAAGAUAGUUGGGCAUCUCCCUGUAGGAUUAAGUUUAUCAGAAGUUCUGACAACAAUUUUCAUUGUGUGGCUACUACAGUCGAAAUGGGAUGAGUUAGGGUGGAAUAGGUUAAUCGUGAGACCUUGAGUUGCAAAAUUCUAAAAUUGAGCUAGGAAUAUGGGUUUCUUAAAUUUUUCUAGUCACGGUGCU
rnacentral:ncRNA from 1 species